UUUUUUGUUGUUGUUUUUUUUGUGUUUUUUUUUAAUAUAGUGUUUAGUGAUUUCUCUUGAUCCCGCAGAAGCAAAGACAAGCGUGUUCAAACUACUGCACGUUACAAAAUGGUGACAUUGCAGUGACUGGUGUUUGGCUGUCCAGAGGCUUGCUUCAGGAAGAGUGUGUUUGGAAGUUUGGGACUGUGUGUCCUUAUACGCACGUGAUUUCGUCCUAGGGCGACGACGGUUGUCGUCGUGAACGGCAGAUGCUUUUGCUGAAGAGGUGUCAAAAAUCAUAGAGAAGACCCAAGCUAAGCUUCGGGACGAAGCGGGGGAUGUGUAGCAGACAGUAUGUAGGGAAUUUUUUACUGCAUUGUAUUCAGUGGAAAUUACAUGUCAACGUUAAUAAUACAAAAAUUAUGGUUUUUUCCAAAGGUCGACCUCCAAAUAAUACAUUUUACUUUAAUAACAAAGUUAUUGAAAUUGUGAAAGAAUUCAAAUAUUUGGGUAUAUCUUUUUCCAGAUCAGGAUCCGUUUAACAAGGCAAAAAAACAUUUAUGUGAGCAAGCCCAAAAAGCCAUGUAUGGGGUUAUACGAAAAAUUAGACAAUAUAAUCUAUCAGUUGAAUGUGAACUUGAUUUGUUCGAUAAAGUUGUUGCACCUGUACUUUUGUAUGGUUGUGAGAUUUGGGGGUUCGAAAAUCUUGACAUUAUUGAGCGAAUGCACUUAAAAUUUUUAAAAUAUAUUUUCAACUUAAAAAGUAGUACUCCAAAUUAUAUGGUCUAUGGAGAAACUGUCCGCUUUCCUUGAUAUGUAACAGUGUAUACAAGAAUGAUUUCUUACUGCGGAAGGUUAUUUUUAAAUCCAGAUAGUAAAUAUUUACUAUAAUUAUGUACAUGAUCUAUUCUGUAGAGAAAGUUAUAAGAAAUUCUUGGUUAUCUUGUAUUAAAAUUAUUUUUAAUCUUUGUGGACACUCCAAUAUAUGGAAUGAACAAGCAUUUUUUAAUACAAACUGGUUAAAAAUUACUGUUGAAUGACGUCUUAAAGAUCAGUAUAUACAGAAAUGGCAAAGUAAUAUACGGGAGUCAUCUAAGGGUGAAACGUAUGGCAUUUUCAAAAGUGAAUUUGGGUUUGAAAAAUACUUGAAUACUUUACCUAAAAAACUUCGAACAAUAUUUAUCAAAUUUAGAACUUCAAAUCACCAACUCCCAGUAGAGACUGGAAGAUGGUGUGGCACUCCUAAAGACGAAAGAACUUGCCAUAUCUGUAAUACGGGUCAGAUAGCUGACGAAUACCAUUUUAAUGUAAGUUUUUUGAAUGUUAUAGAAGAAAGUAUUUGUGUAGAAAAUAUUGUCAUAAACCGAACUCUUUCAAAUUUUCAGAGUUAAUGUCAACUUCAGACCCUAAUGUACUUAUCAAAUUGUGUAGUUUUAUAUCUAAAAUAUAUGACCAAUUCUGUACUCCUCAACUCAUUUUAUGUAUAUAAAACAACUCCCUGCUUUUUUCACGUGUACCUUGCAUAUAAUAUAUUCUAUUUGUAAAUAUUGUAUAUAUUGUACCUCAUGUACCAUAAUAUGGUGUGAGUGAAUAAAGUAAACUGAAUCGCUAGUGAGCUAGCUUUUCUAGUGAUAUGGUAGAGUCUCUCUCUAAGCAACGACGAGCUUGAUCAUAUCGCUACAUGUUACAAUAUUAUUACGGUAGGCCUGUUACCUUUCAAACCACUUGAACUUCUUUUGUUUAUCGGACAAUAAUCAAAACAUAAAAACACAAGGUCAUUGAUUCAUGCAUGCAUAUCUGGGUGUAAAAUUUCAACUCGCACAGAUACCUUGAUUCAGUGUUUAAACUUUACAAAAAGUCAUUGCAUCAUGAUAAAUCGAAAGUAAGUUUAUCACGCAGGAGUUUUGCGUUUUCUUUUAUCAUAAAAAUAUAUGAAGUUGUUAUACAGCUUUGUUCAAUCCAACACACAUAAACACUAAAUACUAGUUCCUUGUUUGACCCCAUCCUGGAGUCAGAACGUCUACCUCGGAUAUCAUGAAAUUUACAAUUUAGGUAGAGGCUUUCCCGCUCUACAUGGCCAGAUCUAUGUAUUCAGUUUUUCUUACAGACGUAAGGAAGAUUUUUUAACAUUGGUCAAAUUUUGUUCCAUUCUUAAGGCCCCGGGGGUGCAGAAGUCCUGAAAUUAAUACUUUAUUUCUUUGUCCCAAAGAUGCUUCAUACCAAAUUUGAAAAAAAAAAGGCAGUUAUCAGGAAGUUAAGAAUGAUCAAGUGUUCACGCACGGCGCAUGACGUCGACAGAUGCUGACCUAAUGCAGUAGAUUAGGUGACCUAAAAUAUUUAUGGGGAUAUUAGGUCACAUAGACUUUACUGUUUUAGAAAGUGUAAGAGUAUGGAAAUGAACCGGAACAGCUCUAUAAUGUUUCUGUAAUGUUUGGACAACUUGACCAUUUCUGUACAAUGUCAUUCCAUCGGUUCAUCACUUAUUUGUGUAUACAGAUAUGUCACGAAAAUAUUUCCGUUUUAUAUGCUCGUGUCAAAGUCAGCAGUUGACUGAAAAAGUCGGUUCAUCUCGAAAUUGUAAGUCCAUUUAGCUGUGUAAUUCAAUUGAUUUUAAAUCAUUUCUAAAAGCUGUAUGAUCCGAUGUUUAUGUAUCAUUUUUGUACAUAAUUACUUUUUAAUUAGUGUUUAAAGUUAUUAGCUUUCCCUUUUAAAAAUACAUGCUUGAAAACAUUUGCAUGUAAAAGAAAAUAGUGAGAAGAUUACUUAGAAAGUAAAUAUAGUGUGGUACGUAUAAAUCAAAUUAUACAGUGUUAAAUUAGGUGUCUCAGACGCAACUGUCUAAUUUUAAGGCUGAAAGAGUGUAAAACAACGAAUUACUAAGACGUACUUGAUAUUUUUAUUUCUAUUAAACUUAUGGCACUGUAUUGUUACGUAACAAAAUACACAGCUUUACACAGAUAAGACCACCGAUGAUCUGAAAUUUUUAGAACUGGUCAAGUGACUGUCACGAGUGACGCGGUUGUUUGUAAACACUGAUUUAAAAUUAAAUGAUGGCUAUAUAUUGUUAUCUGCAACGCGUUGCGUAUACGUUUUGGGGUAAUAAAAUCCCGAGUACAUUAAUUACGAUACCAAAAUAUACAUCGGGUUGACAGACGUAUCCUCUAUAUAUAUUAAUUUACUACCAUCUUUGUAUUUAAUUAUAUUUAAAUUAUUUUCAUAAAUUCUUAUACUAUCCAGCUUUUACUUGAAACAGCAAACAUAGCUAAUUGGCUUGAAAUUUAAUGAUGAUUUUUAUAUACAUAUACUCUUGCUUGCAGUAUUUUAUUUCUUCCUCUUAGUCUUAUGCCUUCGUAUCUGUAUAUUCUUGCAUGAAAGUUUUCUUUUAUUUUGUAUUCUUUUGUUAAUCUGUGAUAUGUCUGUAUAUAUGCUAUGUGUCUUUCUCCUUGAUAUACAUGAAUGUGAUCUGAUAGUCGGUUAAAAAGCUCUGCAGAGCUUGUGCUUGAUAUGUUGAAUGUAUAUAGUGCCGACUUUAAAUCAAAUUUACUUUAUAAAAGAUUAAACUGACAAUAAAUGAUUUUGGUUAAAGCAGGUGAAAUAAUGUAUGUCAUGUCAUAGUCAUACAGCCUCAUAUAACUACAUACGUGCGAUGAUUUCAUGCAUUUCCGAAUAAAAUGGCGAAUUGGUAUUCGCGAUCCCCUAGCAGUUAUGUAUUUAUAGCGGUCGGUUGGAUUUGGACUGUGCCUCUUGUGAGUGAGAGGAAUUUCGCUGAGAUUUCAAAACGGUCGACACUAUCGAUUGUAUAUAUAAAUCAAAAGUAAACAGUGAAACGAAUGAAAAUUAAUUGACUUAGACGUUUAAGUAUGUGAUUAAACAAAGUAGUAAGCAAAUAAUAACACUGGCUUACCUCAUCUCACGUCAACACAAACAAAACAUACAAAACGAAAGUAGGGGGAUAUACAGUAUACAGUGUACUUUAUGAUAAUCAAGGGCGGAUUCAGGAUUGCGGUUAUAGGGACGCACUUUUAUCAGCUGUUUAUGGGGCAGGGGGUAAGGCGGCUCCCAGUGGCGAAGGAAAUUUUUGUUUGGAAUGUAAAAUAAAAACCGGUAUACAGUAACAUUUUUGAAUCGUCGUGUGAACAAAGAGAAAAAGAAUGAGUAAUAGUUGAAAAAAUAAACGAAAAAUAUUUGUACAAAAACAAUAUGUGUUUUAGGUAACAUAAUAUAGUUUUUAAAAAAGAGCAAAGUUGACAUAAAAAAUCCAUGCACAAUUCUAAAUAAUAUUUCGGUUGAAAUGUAAGAUUGUUAUCUCCAUUCAAAGGUAAUUUUAAAUUACAUGUACUAAAACUUUUGAUUACUUUUUGUCUUGGUAAAUUGUAUUUUGGACAAUUCAUGAUGAAGUGAAAUACAGUUUCAGGAAUAUUUUCACACAUAUCACAUAUAAAAUACCUUGUAAAUUACCAGCAUUAUUUCGCAGUUGACAAAGAAGUACAUUUUCUUUACGAUUUACAUGUCCUGGGUUAAAAGGGAUUUAGUGUUUUUACAGCUAUCUUAAAUACUAAUAAUGUUGGAAGCUUAUAAAUACAAUGUACAUAUCCAAAAAUAUUUACGUGAAUAGUAGUAGUUUUUGUCUAUAUAAAUAUAAAUACAACAUGUGUUAUAUUGAUGAUAAUAGAUUAGUCGAUACGCGUGUAUCAAUGCGUGAUAUCAUUACAAAGCACAAAGUACAUGUACUGUUGAAACGCAACUAUAUGUAAAACUAUGGUGUCAUUAGACCAAGCAAACAAUUUCCCAAAGAAUAUUGCUGAUUUUAAGGUCAAGGACACAGUAAACGAGUUAGAUAUUUUGACCAACAACAUGGGCAUAGGAAAAGUUUGUAAAACUACUGUGUACGUUGAAUUUAAUGAACUAGGUGAUGUAUUUCUAAGUACCGCUGAAUCUACCUUUGGUCUAAGUGGCAGGGAAAAUAACUGUGAAAACAAGUGCAACAAACCAUGGUCACUGGUAUUAACCUGAUGAUAGUAACGAUCGUUACUAUCAUCCCAAGAUGGCGAAAGGAAAUUCCGAUUUCACAGUAGGCGUUGACACGAUAAAGAACCCCUACUGCUACAUGGUCCAGAGCGCCAAGUAAAAAUCUGUGGCCCUUCCUGUUAGUGACGUCUCUACUUAAGAAUGUAAAACUUAUACGGUACCAAUUUUGAUGCACCAGAUGCGCAUUUCGACAAAUAAUGUCUCUUCAGUGAUGCUCAACCGAAAUGUUUGAAAACCGAAAUAACAAUAAACUUGCUAGAGCUAUUUUAGGGGGAAAACAGAGUGCCAAAAAUCUAAACAAUCAUUCAAUGAUCUUCACAUUCUUAAAGACGUCAGGUUUGAAGAACCAUUAUCGUUUAUGUAAGGCAA